rnacentral:lncRNA from 1 species
UAAGGCAAUGAAGAUAGUAACGAAGGAAUACACUGAACGCAUCCUGAAAUUUCCUACUUUUCCGAAAAAUGUUUUAUGUCAGUUAUGUAUUGAACGCAAUGGAGCAGUUUAUUGGUGUAAAGACUGCAAAAAGACGAUUUGCAAUUUCUGUAAGCUCUACCAUGAAAAAGUUUGGAUAGUAAUGGAUCACCAUCUUUCGCCGUUACCUCCAGUGAUUUGAAUCUGCACAAGAGACAUCAAGUCGAUAUAGUUGAUGUGAUGUAUAUUAUAUCAUGGUGAAAGACUAUACGGAAACGGUUGCUUCAUGUUCUGUUUUCAUUUAACUUUUUAGAUAAUCCAUAACACUUGAUUGCCGAUGAAUAUGUUUACGCUUUUCUUAACAGUGCAGUCUAGACCAUGUUUUAUCACCUAUUGUAUAAAUUAAAUAGAAUAUAGGUUAAGAGAGGUAAAGGGACGAUCAUUUGAAUUUUUGGUGGGAAUUGUGGUGAGGGCAGGAGUAAAAUGGUAACGAAUUUCAGACAUUUUCAUUUAUCAUAAAGAAAAUUAAUACUCUGCGCCAACAGUUUUUGCGAAAUUGAAAAAAAAUAUGGCUCAGCCGCGUGAAGGACAAAAUUAGGCAAAGAAACAGCUGAAAACUAAUAUUCCAGCUGGUAAUUACGUCCUGCCCUCCAGACAAUAAAAUGGUCCUCCUCUAAGGAAAACUCGAAUAGUUAAUUUUCCCUGAAUUUAUCAAAAAAUAAUAAAAAUGACGUUCUUAACCAAACCCACAUUUUGAUGAAAGUAGAUAUGUGUGUUGUAUUGCGAAGCAAACAAUUUGUUCUGGUUGUAGACGUCCUUUAAUACAAACUUUUAGAUCAAAUUCAGGAGAAAUUGGCCAUACCUCUCUCGUUUUGAUUUCUUUGAUCAGCAGAUCAGGUUGAAAAUAGUAUUGUGUCUAUUAGAAAAAAAGUUUACCCUCAAGAUCCUAUUCUUAGACAAGGAUGUUAUGGGGUAUUAUUAAUUGAAAAAAUAAUUAAAAAAAAAUAAUCUAAAAAUUGUACCACGUGACGCAGUUAAAAUAGAUUUUUUUUGACACGCACAUCGAUGAACAAUAUGUUUUUUAAAUGUAUUGAUUGCCUUAUAUAUGUACUUUUAUUUAUUUCAAAGAAACCUCCAUUAAAAAAAACUUAACUACAUGAAGAUUUGUGAUAAGUAAAACUGAAAAAAAAAUGAUCUUAUAAUAUUCCCAAAGAAAAAUCAUUCGAAUGCUUCCAACUGAGGAAAGUGUUCGAUAUCAAUACCUUUAUUGAGAGAAAAUGAAAGAUUUUAUAAAAUAAUAUAUUGGAUCUGUUACAAAUCUAUCAGUGUCAUUCAAAUUAAAUCGGACGUGGUUUUCAUUUAAUUGAUGAGUCAAGAAAAGAUUGCCAAUGAGUUCUGAAGUAAAUGAGUCUAUAAAUGAAGAGGUUUCAAGCUACUACUAUUGUAUGUCACCGUGUGAUCUUUCACAAUAGACAACCCUCCUACUUUAUAUUUAGGUUAUAAAAGGCACCAAUAAGACAAAAUGAUUAAUAAUUAAAACGAAGAUAGAACAACCUGAUUAAUACUAGUAACUUUACUAUGAACUUCAUAUAAAACGAGUACUGGGUGCAACAAUUUAUUACAAGUAUCAAAUAAACACAAUUACACAUAUAACAU